UCUGGGCCGGUAGCCCUCGGGGCCCCACGCUGGUAUUCCAGAACGGGUGUAUCCGGGUGCAAGCGGAGAACAGCGUGGGAGCUGAUUGCGUUCCAAGUCGGGGCCUCUAUCAGGAGGCAAACGAGACUUAGGGAGCCUCCAGUCAAGGCAGAAGGAGAAGGGGGAGCAGGUGUGUCAUGUGGUGAAAGAAGGCACAAGAGAGGGAGGAGGUACCAGUCACUUUCAAACAACCUGCUGUCCUGUGAACUACUAGAGGAAGAACUCAUUACCACCAGGAAGGCACUGCACCAUUUAGGAAUCUGUCCCCAGGAGAUCAAGUUGGAGACUGCCUACCGUAGCUUCCAUGCCCGCAGGGAAGAGUUGUGGGAGCAGCAAAGCAGAAGAUGGAAGAAGCUUCCAGACAACCCUUUUCAGUGUCUCCGGAUACAGGUGCACCCCAGAAAUAUUGAGGGUUCAGUUUCAGACCACCACAAUAAAGUGAG